GAUGAACGCUAGCUACAGGCUUAACACAUGCAAGUCGAGGGGAAACGACAUCGAAAGCUUGCUUUUGAUGGGCGUCGACCGGCGCACGGGUGAGUAACGCGUAUCCAACCUGCCCAUCACUUGGGAAUAACCUUGCGAAAGUAAGACUAAUACCCAAUGAUAUCCCACGAAGGCAUCGGAAUGGGAUUAAAGAUUUAUCGGUGAUGGAUGGGGAUGCGUCUGAUUAGCUUGUUGGCGGGGUAACGGCCCACCAAGGCAACGUUCAGUAGGGGUUCUGAGAGGAAGGUCCCCCACAUUGGAACUGAGACACGGUCCAAACUCCUACGGGAGGCAGCAGUGAGGAAUAUUGGUCAAUGGGCGAGAGCCUGAACCAGCCAAGCAGCGUGCAGGAAGACGGCCCUAUGGGUUGUAAACUGCUUUUAUAAGGGAAUAAAGUGGGUCACGUGUGACUUUUUGCAUGUACCUUAUGAAUAAGGACCGGCUAAUUCCG
rnacentral:rRNA from 1 species